AGAGCGAACGCUGGCGGCAGGCCUAACACAUGCAAGUCGAGCGCCCGUAGCAAUACGGGAGCGGCAGACGGGAUAGUAACACGUGGGAACGCGCCCUUCGGUUCGGAAUAACUCAGGGAAACUUGAGCUAAUACCGAAUACGCCCUUACGGGGAAAGAUUUAUUGCCGAAGGAACGGCCCGCGUCCGAUUAGCUAGUUGGUGAGGUAAUGGCUCACCAAGGCUACGAUCGGUAGCUGGUCUGAGAGGAUGACCAGCAUCACUGGGACUGAGACACGGCCCAGACUCCUACGGGAGGCAGCAGUGGGGAAUAUUGGACAAUGGGCGCAAGCCUGAUCCAGCCAUGCCGCGUGGAUGAUGAAGGCCUUAGGGUUGUAAAGUCCUUUUAACGGGGAAGGUAAUGACGGUACCGUAGAAUAAGCCCGGCUAACUUCGUGCCAGCAGCCGC
rnacentral:rRNA from 1 species